rnacentral:rRNA from 1 species
CUUGAUGGUAGUGUAUUGGACUACCAUGGCAGUCACGGGUAACGGAGUAUUAGGGUUCGAUUCCGGAGAGGGAGCCUGAGAAACGGCUACCACAUCUACGGAAGGCAGCAGGCGCGCAAAUUGCCCAAUCCUGACACGGGGAGGCAGUGACAAGAAAUAACAACUCUUGGAUUUCUAAGAAGUGUAAUGAGGAUAAUUUACAACCCUUACCGAAAGCAAUUGGAGGGCAAGUCUGGUGCCAGCAGCCGCGGUAAUUCCAGCUCCAAUAGCGUAUAUUAAAGUUGUUGCAGUUAAAAAGCUCGUAGUUGAAGUUCUGAUUGUUCGGGCCUCGCGCUUUAUAGCCGAGGAAUCGACAGUCAUCCGCUUGCAAAUAUAUGUUCGCCUUUAACCGGGUGGCUAUAUGAGUAAGCAAUUUACCUUGAGAAAAACAGAGUGUUCCAGGCAGGUUUGUCCGGAAUGCAUUAGCAUGGAAUAAUAGAAUAUGACUGAAGUCAAUUUAUUGGUUUAAGGCUUUAGUAAUGAUUAAUAGGAACAGUCGGGGGCAUUGGUACUUAACAGUCAGAGGUGAAAUUCUAGGAUUUGUUAAAGACUAACAAAUGCGAAAGCAUUUGCCAAGGAUGUUUUCAUUAAUCAAGAACGAAAGUUAGGGGAUCAAAGACGAUCAGAUACCGU